rnacentral:tRNA from 1 species
CAUUAGAUAGCCAAGUGGUAAGGCGAUUGAUUUAGGUUCAAUUAUACGAGGGUUCGAAUCCUUCUCUAAGUU